rnacentral:rRNA from 1 species
ACCGGUGUCUAUGGCUCGCAAGGCGACGAUGACAAGAUCGCCUUCCUUGGCGACCUCAGCGAGGUCCGCUCGUUGCGCGCUGGCCCCUGGAUCCUAGGGGGCAACUUCAACAUGAUCGCCAGGGCGGCGGACAAGAACAACUCCCGUAUCAACCAUCGUGUCAUGUCCCGCUUCUGCCGCUUCCUCGCCGACGAGGAGCUGGGCGACAUCUACCUCCACGGAAGGCGGUACACCUAGUCGAGUGAGCGCGACACUUCGACCCUCACGCGCACCGACAAGGCCCUCUGCAACUCUGCUUGGGAGGCGCUCCACCCGCACUGUCUGCUUCGUUGUCUCUCCUCCGUGGCGUCUGACCACGCGCCCCUCCUCCUGGACUGCACCGCGCGCUCGCCUGGCACCAGGAGGUUCCAUUUUGAAAGAUUUUGGCCACGCACCGAUGACUACAUGCAGGUCGUGCUUGAGGCAUGGGCCACUGGGACCGACGAGCCGGACCCCUUCCGCCGUUUGGUGGUGCGGCUUAAGGCCACCGUGCGGCGCCUCCAAAGCUGGAGCGUGAAGUAA